rnacentral:rRNA from 1 species
UAGGGAAUCUUCGGCAAUGGGGGCAACCCUGACCGAGCAACGCCGCGUGAGUGAAGAAGGUUUUCGGAUCGUAAAGCUCUGUUGUAAGUCAAGAACGAGUGUGAGAGUGGAAAGUUCACACUGUGACGGUAGCUUACCAGAAAGGGACGGCUAACUACGUGCCAGCAGCCGCGGUAAUACGUAGGUCCCGAGCGUUGUCCGGAUUUAUUGGGCGUAAAGCGAGCGCAGGCGGUUUGAUAAGUCUGAAGUUAAAGGCUGUGGCUCAACCAUAGUUCGCUUUGGAAACUGUCAAACUUGAGUGCAGAAGGGGAGAGUGGAAUUCCAUGUGUAGCGGUGAAAUGCGUAGAUAUAUGGAGGAACACCGGUGGCGAAAGCGGCUCUCUGGUCUGUAACUGACGCUGAGGCUCGAAAGCGUGGGGAGCGAACAGGAUUAGAUACCCUGGUAGUCCACGCCGUANCGAUGAGUGCUAGGUGUUGGAUCCUUUCCGGGAUUCAGUGCCGCAGCUNACGCAUUAAGCACUCCGCCUGGGGAGUACGACCGCAAGGUU